GCGUCGGUGAUUCAGUGGUAGAAUACUCGCCUGCCACGCGGGUGAGCCGGGUUCGAUUCCCGGCCGACGCA
rnacentral:tRNA from 1 species